UCCAAACACGCAACUUUAGGAUCCUUAUACGGUCCAUUGUAAUGCAGUUUUUUCACACGUACACACAGUAGUUCGUUAGCAGAACAUUUUGCAUUGUUUACUUUUCGGUAAUUUCGUUAUUGCCAUCCGAGCGACCUUUAGGAGUUUACGCUGGCUUUACGUGCAUUCGAAUCCCCCGUUCACGAUAAUUUGGCCCCACAGUGCCUGUUACGAAGUGGGCGUUACGUUUCGAUGUUUUUUAGGCUUAGUUAGUAAUAGAGUAGAAAGACGACUCCGUGACAUUGAUCAGGUGAUCUCAAAGCAAACGGGAGAACAAGCGCUUAACUGAAAGGAAACAUUCGCGACCUAAGCUAAGAGUCAUCAUGGCUCGGGAACGGUAUUCCAUAGGAAGCAACCCUCCGAUUACAUUGCCUAUCACGAAUUGGUCAUCAGGUUCCUUCUUCGACAAAUGAGAGACUUAAAUGAAAACCCGACCUGGAACAUUCAAAGGACAAAGUCCAUGAGUACGCGCAAAUGAGAAAUGAACGUUUAAGAAAUCCUGCCUACGCUGACUUCAUGGAGCCUCAACAAGUAUCCCCUAAGAUAUGAGCAGCUAAAUUACACACGCCAUUAUAUACAUUUAGCCCCCUAUGUUUUGAGUUUUACGUCCGGUAUUGCCGUUAGGCAUUCCAUCAGACGGCCGGCU